rnacentral:rRNA from 1 species
GACGAACGCUGGCGGCGUGCUUAACACAUGCAAGUCGAACGGAAAGGCCUUUUCGGAGGUACUCGAGUGGCGAACGGGUGAGUAACACGUGGGUGAUCUGCCCUGCACUCUGGGAUAAGCCUGGGAAACUGGGUCUAAUACCGGAUAGGACCGCACUUUAGUGUGUGUGGUGGAAAGUUUUUUCGGUGUAGGAUGAGCCCGCGGCCUAUCAGCUUGUUGGUGGGGUAAUGGCCUACCAAGGCGGCGACGGGUAGCCGGACUGAGAGGUUGGUCGGCCACAUUGGGACUGAGAUACGGCCCAGACUCCUACGGGAGGCAGCAGUGGGGAAUAUUGCACAAUGGGCGCAAGCCUGAUGCAGCGACGCCGCGUGGGGGAUGACGGCCUUCGGGUUGUAAACUCCUUUCGUCAGGGACGAAGCGUUUUGUGACGGUACCUGGAGAAGAAGCACCGGCUAACUACGUG